AGAGUUUGAUCCUGGCUCAGGACGAACGCUGGCGGCGUGCUUAACACAUGCAAGUCGAACGGGAACUCUAUUGAACGAGCUGCUUGCGGUAAGUGAAGUAGAGUUCUAGUGGCGAACGGGUGAGUAACGCGUGAGUAUCUAUCCCUAGGUGGGGGACAACAGUUGGAAACGGCUGCUAAUACCCCAUAAGCCGAAAGGUAAAAGGAGCAAUCCGCCGAGGGAGGAACUCGCGUCCUAUCAGGUAGUUGGUGAGGUAGUGGCUCACCAAGCCGAAGACGGGUAGCCGGCCUGAGAGGGCGACCGGCCACACUGGAACUGAGACACGGUCCAGACUCCUACGGGAGGCAGCAGUGGGGAAUAUUGGGCAAUGGGGGCAACCCUGACCCAGCGACGCCGCGUGAGGGAUGAAAUUUUUCGGAAUGUAAACCUCUGUUGAUGGGGAAGAAAAAAAUGACGGUACCCAUCGAGGAAGCCCCGGCAAACUACGUGCCAGCAGCCGCGGUAACACGUAGGGGGCGAGCGUUGUCCGGAAUUACUGGGCGUAAAGGGCACGCAGGCUGACAUACAAGUCGGAUGUUAAAUUUAUGGGGCUCA
rnacentral:rRNA from 1 species